UUCGCUUAAUCCCAGUUUGAAAAGGAAUGAGCGAGACACGAAUUAUAAGAGGGAAAGGAUGAAGCUGAUUCACUGGACCUUCUUCUUCAACUUAUAACAAUUAUGGCCACUUCUGAUUCUCAGCGUCGCCGCGUUUUUGUUGGUAAUAUACCAUAUGAUGCUACUGAGGAGCAACUAAUGCAAAUCUGUGAGGAGUUGGACCAGUUGUUUCCUUCAGAUUAGUGAUUGAUAAAGAAACUGGGAAACCAAAAGGUUAUGGAUUCUGCGAAUACAAGGAUGAAGAGACUGCAUUAAGUGCUCGCCGCAACCUUAAGGGGUACGAGAUAAAUGGUCGGCAGCUAAGAGUUGAUUUUGCUGAAAAUGAUAAAAAUUCUGACAGAAAUCGUGAACAGGGUCGCGGCGGACCUGGUAUGACUGCGAAUGUUGAUCCCCAAAAACACAUUGGGGGACCAGCUGUCCCUGUGGAUUCUGCACUUCAGCAGCCAUUAGGCAUGUCAGUAGCUAUGACUGCUGCAGCCGUUAUGGCAGGAGCUCUUGGAGCUGCUCAGAGUGGCUACUCAUUCAGUCAGUCUGGGAUAGAUCCUUUAACACUACAUAUGUCCAAAUUGUCUAGGAGCCAACUGAAUGAUGUUAUGUCUGAGUUCAAGGCAAUGUGUACACAAAACAAGGAACAGACACGCCAACUGCUGCUAGCAAUUCCAAAUUUGUCAAAAGCUCUUUUUCUGGCACAGCUAAUACUGGGAAUGGUAACCCAACCAAUGUUGCAGACGCUAAACAUUCGGCAAUCUGCUGCACCUAAGCUGCAGCCAUUGGUUCUAGAUAGUCAGCAAAGUCAACAACUGGCAACUCAGUCUCUUCGUGGGUUACCCCCACUUCCUCCUAGUUUACUCCCCCAGGCACAGCCUCAGACUCAACUAGCACAAUCGCAGAACCAAGUUUUGCAAAGUCAGUUGCCUAAGCCUUCUAGAAAUCCUUCCAUCAAUGCAACCCAAGUCAAUGUGUCAAUUAAUCCACCAGUUCAAGUGGGAACUUCUGUUGCUGUAAAGCAGCAAAUGCAGCCUUUUUUCUUACAACAAGCUGGGCCAGUUGCUUCCAUGAAUUUUACAUAUAAUAGUCAGCUGGGGACAGAAAAGACAAGAUAUCAUCCUCCUCCUUCAUCAAUGCGUACCCCAUCAUUGGAACAAGGUUCUCAGGGAAAUCCUUCAGUAGUGUCUGGUGUCUUGGAUAAUACGAAUAAAGACUCUCAACGACCCCAGGCUCCUAAUAAUUCAUCUUUGAUUACCAGACCAGCUUACCCUUCAGGUUUGCCUGAGGUGAAGAGAGGGGCAGCAUAUAAUCUAGAUCUUCUGAGUCGGCCAUCGAAAACGACAAGGCUAAAUGAUGGAAUAAGUUAUGCCUUACCUGAUGCAAGUGUAUCUAUGCCCCAGUCAGGAUGCUCGACUCAAGUUUUAGCUGCAGCAGAAAUGUCAAACCCUGAUAAACAAGCUACUCAGGUACAGCUUCCCUCGGACGUUGAGUCUGCCUUGCUGCAACAAGUACUGAGUCUCACUCCUGAGCAGUUAAGUGCACUGCCACCAGAUCAACAGCAGCAGGUCAUUCAGCUCCAACAGAUGCUUCGGCAGCCAACAUAGCCAAACUUUAAUACGUGACAAGGACCUCAGAUACUUGCCCCACCGAAAUAAUUGUGCAGAAGGGCAUGUUGUCUUUUGGAUCAUUUACCAUAUUGUAAAGUGAUUGAUUUCCAAAGGAUUGUUAAAAUGCACUUGGGUGUAUUACAUUCAUGUAAUGACUAUAAGCAGGCUGUUUACAAGCUAAAUGAAAGAAAGAGGAAAGAGUUUUGUA